GACGAACGCUGGCGGCGUGCCUAAUACAUGCAAGUCGAGCGCAGGAAGCCGUCUGAACCCUUCGGGGGGACGACGAUGGAAUGAGCGGCGGACGGGUGAGUAACACGUAAAGAACCUGCCCAUAGGUCUGGGAUAACCACGAGAAAUCGGGGCUAAUGCCGGAUGUGUCAUCGGACCGCAUGGUCCGCUGGUGAAAGGCGCUCCGGCGUCGCCCAUGGAUGGCUUUGCGGUGGAUUAGCUAGUUGGUGGGGUAACGGCCCACCAAGGCGACGAGGCAUAGCCGACCUGAGAGGGUGAUCGGCCACACUGGGACUGAGACACGGCCCAGACUCCUACGGGAGGCAGCAGUAGGGAAUCUUCCACAAUGGACGAAAGUCUGAUGGAGCAACGCCGCGUGAACGAUGAAGGCUUUCGGGUCGUAAAGUUCUGUUGUAAGGGAAGAACAAGUGCCGCAGGCAAUGGCGGCACCUUGACGGUACCUUGCGAGAAAGCCACGGCUAACUACGUGCCAGCCGCCGCCGUAAAAC
rnacentral:rRNA from 1 species